GACGGAGGAUGCAAGCGUUAUCCGGAAUGAUUGGGCGUAAAGCGUCCGCAGGUGGCAGUUCAAGUCUGCUGUCAAAGACCGGGGCUUAACUUCGGAAAGGCAGUGGAAACUGAACAGCUAGAGUAUGGUAGGGGCAGAGGGAAUUCCUGGUGUAGCGGUGAAACGCGUAGAUAUCAGGAAGAACAUCGGUGGCGAAGGCGCUCUGCUGGACCAUAACUGACACUCAGGGACGAAAGCUAGGGGAGCGAAUGGG
rnacentral:rRNA from 1 species